rnacentral:rRNA from 1 species
AGAGUUUGAUUAUGGCUCAGGAUGAACGCUGGCGGCGUGCCUAACACAUGCAAGUCGAACGAAGCGCAUGCCUGGAACCCUCCGGGGGGAAGGGCAUAUGACUGAGUGGCGGACGGGUGAGUAACGCGUGGGCAACCUGCCCCGCACUGGGGGACAACAGCCGGAAACGGCUGCUAAUACCGCAUAUGCGCACAGCUUUGCAUGAAGCAGUGUGGAAAACUCCGGUGGUGCGGGAUGGGCCCGCGUCUGAUUAGCUGGUUGGCGGGGCAACGGCCCACCAAGGCGACGAUCAGUAGCCGGCCUGAGAGGGUGGACGGCCACAUUGGGACUGAGACACGGCCCAAACUCCUACGGGAGGCAGCAGUGGGGGAUAUUGCACAAUGGGGGGAACCCUGAUGCAGCGACGCCGCGUGAGCGAAGAAGUACCUCGGUAUGUAAAGCUCU